rnacentral:rRNA from 1 species
GAUGAACGCUGGCGGCGUGCCUAAUACAUGCAAGUCGAGCGAACAGAUGAGGAGCUUGCUCCUCUGACGUUAGCGGCGGACGGGUGAGUAACACGUGGAUAACCUACCUAUAAGACUGGGAUAACUUCGGGAAACCGGAGCUAAUACCGGAUAAUAUAUUGAACCGCAUGGUUCAAUAGUGAAAGACGGUUUUGCUGUCACUUAUAGAUGGAUCCGCGCCGCAUUAGCUAGUUGGUAAGGUAACGGCUUACCAAGGCAACGAUGCGUAGCCGACCUGAGAGGGUGAUCGGCGACACUGGAACGGAGACACGGUCCAGACUCCUACGGGAGGCAGCAGUAGGGAAUCUUACGCAAUGGGCGAAAGCCUGACGGAGCAACGCCGCGUGAGUGAUGAAGGUCUUCGGAUCGUAAAACUCUGUUAUUAGGGAAGAACAAAUGUGUAAGUAACUAUGCACGUCUUGACGGUACCUAAUCAGAAAGCCACGGCUAACUACGUG